AGCUUUUUGUUUAUGUAAAUAGUAAUAGGCUCAGGAUGUUGUGUCUUCAUACAUAACGUCCAAUGAUGUACUCCGCUGCAACACUUUAUUUCUCUUAUCACUUUUGACGUGUUGUAGAAUGUUUGAAAACCUUAACCUGUAUAUGAGCUAGAUAAAUCUUGGUUAUGAUAUGUAUUUGGUUUAAACUUCUUUGUUAAAGGUUGGUGGUUAUAUAUGUGAGUUAAUUAUUUAUUUGUCUUAGUUUCCUUUCAAUUACUUUCUCUCGUUCUCCACCCUAGUCGUACGAUACCUGGUCUAGCUAUCUUUCUCCUAGGCCGGGCUGCGACA
rnacentral:lncRNA from 1 species